rnacentral:rRNA from 1 species
UACAGAGGUCCCAAGCGUUGUUCGGAUUCACUGGGCGUAAAGGGUGCGUAGGUGGCCGGGUAAGUCUGACGUGAAAUCUCCAAGCUCAACUUGGAAACUGCGUCGGAUACUAUCCGGCUAGAGGAUCGGAGGGGAGACUGGAAUACUUGGUGUAGCAGUGAAAUGCGUAGAUAUCAAGUGGAACACCAGUGGCGAAGGCGAGUCUCUGGACGAUUCCUGACACUGAGGCACGAAAGCUAGGGGAGCGAACGGG